GGCGGGGUAGCUCAGUUGGUUAGAGCAGCGGAAUCAUAAUCCGCGUGUCGGGGGUUCGAAUCCCUCCCUCGCUACCA
rnacentral:tRNA from 1 species